rnacentral:rRNA from 1 species
AUUGAACGCUGGCGGCAGGCCUAACACAUGCAAGUCGAACGCAUCGCAAGAUGAGUGGCGCACGGGUGAGUAACACGUGGGAAUGUAUCCUUUGGUUCGGAAUAACGUCUGGAAACGGACGCUAAUACCGGAUGAGCCCUUAGGGGGAAAGAUUUAUCGCCGAAGGAGCAGCCCGCGUCUGAUUAGGUAGUUGGUGGGGUAAAGGCCUACCAAGCCGACGAUCAGUAGCUGGUCUGAGAGGAUGAUCAGCCACACUGGGACUGAGACACGGCCCAGACUCCUACGGGAGGCAGCAGUGGGGAAUAUUGGACAAUGGGCGCAAGCCUGAUCCAGCCAUGCCGCGUGAGUGAUGAAGGCCUUCGGGUUGUAAAGCUCUUUCGCACACGACGAUGAUGACGGUAGUGUGAGAAGAAGCCCCGGCCAACUUCGUGCCAGCCGCCGCGGUAAUAC